AUAGACGACACAGCAGUGCUCCAUGCAACCAAUAUCCAUGCCAGAAAGUCGAUGUGGCGAGUGGUAGAUUGAAACAACAAAACAGCAGAUCCGAAAAUGAUAAAUUCAUUAUGAAUAUCGCAGUGGCGUUCUUCAACUGGACAUACUUUUUUAAAGGAAAGCGCUAGAAAACGUUCUAACGAAUCUCAAGUGUAUACUAAAAUGCAAGAGAUAACAUAACAUAGAUAUGAAGGUACGUAGUCGGCAGACGUUAUACACGUGCGUAAAACGAGUUGCAUGCGAUAAGGAACUUAACUGUACUAACGUACGUACAUCUACCCCUACCCUCGCCGUUCAAUCAGAUGCCGGUAUAUAAAAAAGAGAGAGAAGGUAUUUCAUAUAAAUAACGAUUACAUUUAUGUGUGACAUUAAUCGCAUAAUAAAAUCAGCACGUGUUCGUUUAACGUUGAAUUUCGAGUACAAAAGUAGCAAGACAGGUGAGGAUUGACGUAAAGCACGAAGGCCUUACUAGUUUAAUUCGAGAUCAUUGAUUAUAUCGACUGUCAGAUUCAACGUACGUAUUUGUUCGUACGUGAAAGCUCGUGGAAACAGAGGACACGUGUGCGCGUAAACGCACACGAUCGUUUCCAAACUUAACUUCGUUCCGGGUUUGCAUCUGACGUACUUCGAAAGCCACGUUUUAUAUCGGAAUGGUGCAUGUGCCGACGACCUUUCGAUCAUUGGCUCCUUUUACUCUUCGCCAUCUGCCACUUACGACAGAAAGAGAGAGAAAGAGAGAGAGAGAGAGAGAGAGAGAGAGAGGGAGAGAGAGAGAGAGAGAAUAAGAGAGAAAGAGAAAGAGAUAGAGGUAGAAUUAGAGAAACAAGGAAGAAUAAUAGAGGGAACGAAGUAACGAAGAAAUAUUAAUCAAUCGUCCACACAAAUUGGUACUUUCCUACUACUCAUUCGGUAUUGAUAAACUUUCAGUUACAUAGUAACUUCAUGUUUUAUCUCCUUUAAAGCUCGCACUUUGUUUUUAAAUGAAAAUCUUUACAUUUCUCGACACUAAAUUUUCUACAUUUUAAUAAUAACCCAAGAAUAGAGUAUUCAAGCUAGUGACAAUGUUUCCAAAAACUCAUACAGUGUAACUCAUACUGGGUUUAUUCUCGAGACAGAAGAAUUUGUAAGAUGAGAAAUUCGAGGUGAGCCUCUGACGUUCGUAGCAGCUUCAGUAUGCUCCGGAAACUUAAGUACCGAGACAAGCAGUAUGCGUGACAAAACCGUCGGAGUUUCGUGUCGUUGCGUUCGUUAGAAAAUUCGGUGUCUGCUCGACUCUUGCAAGAGAGAAUAAUUAACCGACCUUCUUGGUACGAAAGAGAGCAGCCACGGUGAUAAGAUUCCCUGGAAUGCCAAUGAGCAUAAAGAGAAUACAACAGCCAGCGGCAAAGUACAAAAGCCACGGUGGAUAACCAAUGAAAAGAACCACUGAUCCUGGAUCUUCUAGGACCUGUUCGAUCGUUACAUUGCUCCCGUUCAGCUCACUUUUGUUGCUUGCCAUCCAAUAUUCCAGCAUCUGUAGAAUCGAUUAUAUCGAUAAUGUUCGUCGAUGUGCAAGGCAAAAAAAUAUUUUUGCGUUAAGAAUAUAAUCGUAUGAAAAGCCGAUAGACAGGCAAUCCAUUCUAAGUCUAAUCUAUCUUAGUAUUCUAAAGGCUUAGAUCAUUGGGUUGGUUAAAAACAACUUACGCUUUUUUCGAUCUCCACAUACAUUAUAGUGGUGUUAAUGUAAAACUCACAAAACGUCUGAUGUGAACAUCCCGUAAUUUGGAUUUUCUUUCAUCGUUAACUCGCAUACACGUGCAGAGAUAUACACGUUCAUACGGGUUGCUCCUACAUCCCUUUGCUCCCCUCGCUAAAUCUCACUUUCUCUUUUCUUCAUCUUUCGCAGGAGCUGGAAUCGUUCUCUUUUUUCUCUCAACGGGGCAUCGGAAAGGAAGAGAGAGAGAGAGAGAUCUAUUUUCGCCAUCCGAGACGAUAAACUCUUUUGAGCGAGAAUAAACGUUUGAAACGUUCCUAUCGUCUCCCAAAUAAAAUCUCACUUACAAAAGAAGCUGGUUAGUAAUAGGACGAUAGUAAAGUGACUAUGAUUUACUAAACACAUAUUUAUCUAUCUUCUUCCUUUUUAUUCGAAAAUUGCUAUGAGAAAAGUAAUGACUCGAAAAAGAUGGAGUACGCGAACCAAAGGAAUAACUAAUCAGUUGCAUAUGCGCGCCGACUGGAAUUUGCUAACGUUGUCCCAAGAUCAUAAAAAGAUAACCACCAAGGUAGUUAAACCUAUGGAUCAACAAGACUCUUAUCUCUAUGCGAAAGAUAUUUUUCUCCCUUUCUUUUGAUUUAUAGUCUAUACUAACCGUACAUUUAACAUAUUUUCAUAUAAA